GCCACGGUGGUCUAGUGGUCAGAACUUGUAAUCCUGGGGUCCCGGGUUCAAUUCCCGG
rnacentral:tRNA from 1 species